CCUACGGGGGGCAGCAGUGGGGAAUAUUGCGCAAUGGGCGAAAGCCUGACGCAGCGACGCCGCGUGAGGGAUGAAGGUCUUCGGAUCGUAAACCUCUGUCAGCAGGGAAGAACGGUCACUGUGCUAAUCAGCAGUGAAUUGACGGUACCUGCAAAGGAAGCACCGGCUAACUCCGUGCCAGCAGUCGCGGUAAUACGGAGGGUGCGAGCGUUAAUCGGAAUUACUGGGCGUAAAGCGCUCGUAGGCGGUAUGUCAAGUCAAGGGUGAAAUCCCCGCGCUCAACGUGGGAACUGCCUUUGAAACUGGCAAACUGGAGUGUGUGAGAGGAGAGUGGAAUUCCAGGUGUAGGAGUGAAAUCCGUAGAUAUCUGGAGGAACAUCAGUGGCGAAGGCGACUAUCUGGAACAUAACUGACGCUGAGGAGCGAAAGCGUGGGUAGCAAACAGGAUUAGAUACCCUGGUAGUC
rnacentral:rRNA from 1 species